UACGGAGGGUGCAAGCGUUAUCCGGAUUUACUGGGUUUAAAGGGUGUGUAGGCGGGUCUUUAAGUCAGUGGUGAAAUCUCCGAGCUUAACUUGGAAACUGCCAUUGAUACUAUUGAUCUUGAAUUCUGUUGAGGUGGGCGGAAUAUGUCAUGUAGCGGUGAAAUGCAUAGAUAUGACAUAGAACACCAAUUGCGAAGGCAGCUCACUACUCAAUCAUUGACUCUGAGGCACGAAAGCGUGGGGAUCAAACAGG
rnacentral:rRNA from 1 species